UAGAAAAAUGGUGUCUUUAAUCGGACUUUC
rnacentral:piRNA from 1 species